UCCAAAAGGGCAGUCUAAUCCAUUGCAGAGUUAACAGUUCCAGGCGAUAGAGAGAACAGCUAUCCUUGGAACUAAGAACAGACCGAAAUUCUCCCAAGGACAGUCUUAGACAGACGGCUGUGGUUCAGCCCUGAUGAUCACGUAGUAUUUUCCGGUACCAUGGAGGUGAGACCACAGGAAGCAGGCUUUCAGAACCUUCAUCCAACAACUGAUGGAAGCAGAAACAGAGAUCUACAGUUAAGCACCGGGGCUGAGCUACCCGAGAGUCCAAGAGAAGGAGGAGUGAUAAUAUCAGCAAAGGGGUCAAGACCAUGAUGGUGAUACCCACAGAAACAGCUGACCUGAGCUAGUGAGAGCUCACUGACUCUGGACUGAUAGCAGGGGAACCUGCAUAGGAUCAAAGUAGGACCACUGAAUGUAGGGGACAGUUGUGAAGCUGUGGGGCCACUGGCAGUAGGACCAGGAUUUAUCCCUGCUGUUUGGACUGGUAUCUUGGAGCACAUUCUCUUUGAAGGGAUACCUUGGUCAGCCUAGAUACUGGGGGGAAGGCCUUGGUCUUGCCUGGAAGUGAAGUGUCUGACUUUGUUGACCCCCCCCAUGGGAAGCCUUACUCUUUCUGAGA